UGCGGUCCGGUGUGGAAGCUGCGGCGGCUUCCAUGCAGCUGCUGUGGUCAAAAAGGAGCCGGAGAGACUGCUCUCCCCGACGGCUGCCGUCCUGUUUGCUGUAACUGACCUGAAACAUUUUGGGAAAAGACAGUC
ensembl:snoRNA